GACGAACGCUGGCGGCGUGCUUAACACAUGCAAGUCGAACGGAAAGGCCCUGCUAUUCUGGCUUUCUCUGGUGGCGGACGGGCGAGUAAGACGGUAGUACCUAGCCCUUGACUUUGUGAUUACUUCAGGAAAUUGGGGAUGAUACCGUAUUGGACAUUCUUCUCCAUCGUGGGGGUCGGAAAGGUUCGGCGGUUUGGGAUGGGCUGGCGGGUGAUGAGUCUGAUGAUGUGGUAGUGGCUUACAAGGGCUUUGACGGGUAGCCGGCCUGAGAGGGGGACCGGCAAAAUUGGGACUGAGAUACGGCCCAGACUACUGCGGGAGGCAGCAGUGGGGAAUAUUGCACGAUGGGCGGAAGCAGGAUGCAGCAACGCCGCGUGAGGGAUGACGGCCUUCGGGUUGUAGGCCGUUUUCGCCGGUGACGAAGCGUGAGUGACGGUAAUGGGUAAAGAAGCACCGGCUAACUACGUG
rnacentral:rRNA from 1 species